rnacentral:snoRNA from 1 species
GGGGGAGAAGAGGAAAACUUGUUCCAGAAGGAACAGUCUGU